AAAUCAAUGUAUAAGAGGUCCUACCUGCCCAGUGACAAUAAGUUAAACGGCCGCGGUAUUUUGACCGUGCUAAGGUAGCGCAAUCACUUGUCUUUUAAAUGAAGACCUGUAUGAAUGGUGGAACGAGGGCUUAACUGUCUCCCUUUUCAGGUCAGUGAAAUUGAUCUGCCCGUGCAGAAGCGGACAUAAAAAUACAAGACGAGAAGACCCUUUGGAGCUUAAGACACAAGGUCAACUAUGUCAAAAUUCCUAUAAAUAGAAGUAAAACAAAAUAUUAACUGACCAAAGUCUUCGGUUGGGGCGACCGCGGGGGAAAAUAAAGCCCCCAUGUGGAAUGGGUUAAAACCUAAAACCACGAGGGACACCUCUAAGUAACAGAACAUCUGACCAAAAGAUCCGGCACCUGAGCCGAUCAACGAACCAAGUUACCCUAGGGAUAACAGCGCAAUCCCCUCCAAGAGUCCAUAUCGACAAGGGGGUUUACGACCUCGAUGUUGGAUCAGGACAUCCUAAUGGUGCAGCCGCUAUUAAGGGUUCGUUUGUUCAACGAUUAAAGU
rnacentral:rRNA from 1 species